UACGUAGGGUCCGAGCGUUGUCCGGAAUUACUGGGCGUAAAGAGCUCGUAGGUGGUUUGUCGCGUUGUUCGUGAAAACUCACAGCUCAACUGUGGGCGUGCGGGCGAUACGGGCAGACUUGAGUACUGCAGGGGGAGACUGGAAUUCCUGGUGUAGCGGUGGAAUGCGCAGAUAUCAGGAGGAACACCGGUGGCGAAGGCGGGGUCUCUGGGCAGUAACUGACGCUGAGGAGCGAAAAGCGUGGGGGAGCGAACAGG
rnacentral:rRNA from 1 species